rnacentral:tRNA from 2 species
UCUUCGCUAGUACAUCGGUUAGUAUUUCCGCUUUUCAAAUAUCUUGAGCGCGGACGAGCGGGGUUCGAUUCCCCGGCGGAGAA